rnacentral:misc_RNA from 1 species
GUAACAUACGCUUCCUCUAGAGCUCCUGAUGACCUUGAUACCAGGCUUCUUCGUGCCAUGAUAACCAAAGGUCUCAUUGAGCCCAUUUCCAGUGUUUUCGUGAACUUGGUGAAUGCUGAUUUCACUGCCAAACAGAGAGGACUAAGGAUAACUGAGGAGCGAGUCAUCAUUGAUGGGUCGCCUGAGAAACCAUUAGAAUACAUUCAGGUCCAGAUUGCCAACGUGGAAUCCAAAUUUGCCAGUGCUAUAUCAGAUUCCGGGGAGAUAAAGGUGGAAGGACUUGUGAAAGAUGGAAUCCCUCACCUCACGAAGGUCGGGUCCUUUGAAGUUGAUGUUAGUUUGGAGGGUAGCAUCAUACUUUGCAGGCAGGUUGACCAGCCAGGUAUGAUUGGAAAGGUUGGAAGCAUUCUUGGAGAAGAAAAUGUUAAUGUGAGUUUCAUGAGUGUUGGGAGGAUUGCUCCUCGAAAGCAAGCUGUUAUGGCCAUUGGUGUUGAUGA